GGAUGUGAGGGAAAUCUGGCUGAGACAGCUACCACCACAUUGAUCAUCUGAGUUUAUUUGGCAAAUGUGGCUGGCUAGAUGGGUGUCCCCUUCCUCCCUCACAGCUCCAUGUGUGUUCCUCACAGAGCUGAGCUCUUGGUCAAAGAGAACAGAGGACAACCAUCCUCAAUAUUGGAGGACCGUUUUUUGGUCAAGAGUAUAGGAGUAGCUGUACUCCCCUGCCAGAAUCUCCAAAUAAGCUCCCAAGAGGAAAAAUGUUGUGUUCUUUAAUAUCUAACAAAAGUAAUAAUGUGCUAUAUAUUAUAAUUU
rnacentral:snRNA from 1 species